ACCUUAGCUAGUGCAAGCCUGAGUGCCACCCUGGGAAGAUGCGGACAAAGCAUGUUUCCAACCCCAGUGCCACAGAGUCCGAAUCCAGUUUUGACAGGUUUGAGAAAAAGUAGAGAGGACAUCAAAAGAAAGACAGGAGCCCAGAGCUAAGCAGGGCCUGAUCUUCAAAGGCCACUUAGGCCUUGGCAAGGGUGUUAUCUCCGAGAGAAGGCUUUGGCAGGUGAUCAGCAGGGGAGCCGUAAACCCUGUGUAAAGGAAAACUCUUGCUGGAUGUGAGGGGGAUGCAGAUGGAGCAGGCAGGGUGAAUGACGGUACAUACCAGGCCAGAAUUUGUUCGUAGUAGUACAGAAAAUAAUGGUGGGACUUAAAAUUGAUGAUAUUUUAGAUUUGAUGGAAACUGUUAUACUCCAAUUAUUUUAUGUGAAGACAUGUUAUAGCCAUUAUAAUUAUAUUUUCAUGGAUUUCUUAAUAAUAUGAAGUAGACUGGGUGCAGUGGCUUACGCCUGUAAUCCCAGCACUUUGGGAGGCCAAGGCAGGUGGAUCACUUGACAUCAAGAGUUGGAGACCAGCCUGGCCAACAUGGUGAAACCCCGUCUCUACUAAAAAAAUACAAAAAUUAGCCAGGCAUGGUGGCACUUGCCUGUAAUCUCAGCUACUUGGAGGCUGAGGCAGGAGAAUCACUUGAACCUGGGAGGCGGAGGUUGCAGUGAGACUAGAUCACGCCACUACACUCGAGCCUCGGUGACAGAACGACUCUGUCUCAAAAUAAAACAAAAAAACAGAACCCUGAGAUUUGCAAAAGAAAAUAUGCAGAUGACCGGGCUCAUGCCUGUAAUCCCAGCACUUUGGGAGGCCAAGGUGGGUGGAUUACCUGAGGUCGGGAGUUCAAGACCAGCCUGACCAACAUAGAGAAACCCUGUCUCUACUAAAAAUACAAAAAUUAGUCAGGCGUGCUGGCAGAUGCCUGUAAUCCCAGCUACUUGGGAGGCUGAGGCAGGAGAAUCGCUUGAAUGUGGGAGGCGGCGGUCGUGGUGAGCUGAAAUCUUGCCAUUGCACUCCAGCCUGGGCAACAACAGUGAAAUUCUGUCUCAAAAAAAUAAAUAAAUAAAAGAAAAAGAAAAAGAAAAGAAAAUAUGCAGAUGAUCCAUAGGCUUGAGAAGUGUCCCUUUGAGUGGUAACCAAAGAAAUGCAAAUUAAAUAAAAUAACGCAAAGCCUUUGCAACUAAUUUUCAAAUUAAUGAUCAUUUAAAAGAGUAAUUAAGAGAGCUGGAAAGGAUGCAGGGAGAUGCCAUCAAGGUACAUUGUGCUUGGAGUGUAAAUUGGUACACCCUCUCGCUCAGGGCUAUUUGCAGUAUAAAUGCAUACAUUUCGGCCUGACGCGGGGGCUCACGCCUGUAAUCCCAGCACUUUGGAGGGCCGAGGUGGGCGGAUCACAAGGUCAAGAGAUUGAGAUCAUCCUGGUCAACAUGGUGAAACCCCGUCUCUACUAAAAGUACAAAAAAUCAGCUGGGUGUGGUGACGGGCGCCUGUAGUCCCAGCUACUCAGGAGGCUGAGGCAGGAGAAUGGCGUGAAC
rnacentral:lncRNA from 1 species